rnacentral:lncRNA from 1 species
CGGACCUCAUUUGUGGAAUUUUACUAGGUGUAUUAUUGUUGUUAUUAUUGACAUAUCAUGAUUAUCCACUUAUUUUACUUAAUUCAUAAUUAAACUUAUAUACUUCUUAAACUCAAACCCGCCCCUUAGAAUAUGAUCCUUUCUUUUUAACUUAAACUUGGUGAUAAAUAAACCAAGACACACCACAUAUAUACGGUUUUUAGCCUUUUUAUUGACAACCAUAAGCAUGCUAGUUUUGUAGUUUGAAUGAAAUGAC